UAGUGAACCAAUAUUCAUUCAUUAUUAUUAAAUAAAGUCUAUCAUUUAGUUUAAGGUUUAUUCUCUGUGUCAUACAGUUCUGUGGGUUUUGACGCAUGCAGGUCAGUAUCCACCAUUUCAGUAUCCUACAGAAGAGUUUCAGCAUUUAUCUUGUGUGCUUGUCAGCCCCUACCAUCGUAUGCUCCUGCCUGCAGCUUUUUUUUCCUUGUUUCUUUAUUUUUCAUAUGUGAGCCUAACACAAGCCUUCCUUUAUGCUCUGUACCCCUCCUCCACAUGUUUAUAAACUCUCAUAAACAUCAUGGGAUACACCAUCCUAUACUUAACCAUGCCCCUAAUGUUGGACAUUCAUGUCUAUGACAAGUGUUCACUUAUCAUAUAGGAUAUUUUAAACUCAUUUCAUGGAAAAAGAUUUCCAGGAUCCAGAUAGCAUUCAGGGGAAAAAAAUUAUUUAGAAAGAAACAGCAUUGUGUGGUGUCCCCCAGCACCUCCCAGACAAAGGGCUUUUGUCUGAAGGUUGGAGGCCUCUGCUGUCUUGGCCUAGUGAGUGCCAGUUUCCGCGUGGCUGCCCCGCACCCUUGGGAAGGCUGUAGGGGGACAGUGCUGGCCGGGGUCUUAGCUUCCCUGCUCCUGCAGGAGGACUGGGCUUCCUCAUUCAUUCCCUUCUUACUCUCAUCCAUCAGUGCCUUUAAACUGAAACCUGGAACUAUGGUAUUCUCUUUGGCUCUUAGAACGGGUUGGCUUAACGGGGGAAAUAUUAAUAGCACUGGUGUCGGCGGAAGUGACCUUGAGCUACAUAGGAAGAUUUUGAUAAAACGUGUCACUCCUGUUACCUAUCAGGAUCAAACUGCAUCAUGGAAGCUGCACACGAUGACACCCUGUCCGGAAAGUUUUUGCCAGAGGGCAAAAGACUGCAAGCAGAAUAUCCCUUCACCAUUUCUCAUUCAGGCCCGGCCGUUGUCUGAAAGCAAACCUCAAGGACAGGACUUUUUGGACUCCGCAGCCACUCCAGGCUGCUGCUCCACCACAUGAAGUCCAGCAGGUGGCGGUGCACCCCGCGCGGACCCGGCUUGCCUGUCUUGGCCCAGGGAGUCGGUUUGAUGCGCAGUCGGGAAGUGGGUCUGCACGCACCUCGCUGCAGCUGUGGCAAACGCAAGCGAUGACACACAGGCUUGACGAGGGCCUUUGUCAGAAGCAAUGGGGAUUUGGCGUCACCGCACAAUGGAAAACAAAGUGCUUCUGCCUGGCUGGCCAGAAUGCACGUUUGCUCACUAUUGAUGCCGGGGCAUUUACAGGCAGAAUGAGUUCAUGUGAAAUUUCAGGGUCUGCCAUGACUCAGAUUCACUUUCUGUAAACCAGAGUCAACAUUACAUUUCCCUUUACUCUGAGCCAUUCCUUGAAUUUUUGGGUCACCAGUUGCUAACCGAAGGGAUUUGAGUAUUUCUUAUGCACCUUAUUUUUAUUAUUAUUUUUAGGGCAUUACCAAUUUGGGACGGAUCUGUAGUGUGAGAGAUGGUUGUCACUCUUAGCUCCAAACAUAGAUUGGCUUUAUAUAUUAUUUACAUGUUCAGAAUUAUAUUGUGUAGAAAUUCAAGUGAAACUUGCAAAAUACUUUUCUGGCAGGAAGCCCUGGAGAGGAUCGUUCAUGGAAACAAGGAUGACGAGUGUGGUAAGAAGUACAGGUGACUCGUGAGUGGGCAGGCAGUGGAAGAGAAGAUGGCUGGAAGGUUUUAGCAUUCAGAAAAAAAUGGAGACAACUAGAGUUGAUCUGAAGAUUAUGGCAGAAUUCAAUAUUGGGGCAAAGAAACAAGAUGGGGGUUAGAAAUUAGAAACAGCAGAGCUCCGCAGGUUGGAAAGGAUUUGAGCAAGAGAACAAAAAGGAGCCUGCUAAUAGCACCCUGGGUUUACAGCAAGAGAAGCACCUGGAGAGAAUUAACUCGGGAGGAGGUGGGGGCAUGGGAAACCUUUUCAUCUCCAAGAGUGGGCAGGAACAGCAGCUGGCCUGAACUUGAAGGUACACCAGGUAGCUUGCCUGGGCCAGGAGAAGGUGAUUCUCUUCUAUACCUCUCUCCAACGCCCCGCUUCUGAUGCUGCUCCUCUACCCAUAUUGAGGGGAAGAUAUAUCCCUAAGAAGUUCCCUGCACCCCAUUUCUUGUUCUGGCUAACUGGUCCCCUAGGAAUUUUUCUCCUAAUUUUCAUUUCCCCUUCUCACCUGGUGAAAUCUUAAAUCUUACUGUUCAAUAAAAGUUCUUCUACCAAAAUUUCUAUACCACGUUGAAUUCUUUGUGUUUCCUUUGUUUUUAAAACUUCCUGGGGAGUUUUACUUAGAAAAAAAAAAGCCUCUGGGGACUAGAUAAGGAAGAAAACCUUCAUGUGGACCCUCUUGAGCUCUGUUUUCUUUCCUGGCCUCACUGGUGUGGGCUCUCUGACUGCCCUACUGAUCUCUUGCUUUACUGGAUUUGGGUGAGGACUGAGGAGAGGGACAGGAGGGUAUUCACUGGAUACUAUUCAGACUAAAGGAUUAGAUGUCCCAGGUGAGUAAGCAAGAAAGCAAACACAUAAACAAACAAAACUUCUGAACGUUUUCAAUCCAAGUGGAGCAGAAUUUAGCUUUUUCAGCUAAACUGCCCCACCCCUGGCACCCAGGGAAAAUGGUGCUCGUAUUGUAAUAUGUUCUCACAGAUGCAUGCAACAUUAUGAGUAAUUUUUGCCUUGUGAUGUAAAUUCUUUUUUCCUCACUCUGGAAAACAUAUUGUAGCUGGAAAAAAAAAAA